rnacentral:rRNA from 1 species
CAGUUCGGAUUGUAGUCUGCAACUCGACUACAUGAAGCUGGAAUCGCUAGUAAUCGCGAAUCAGAAUGUCGCGGUGAAUACGUUCCCGGGUCUUGUACACACCGCCCGUCACACCAUGGGAGUCAGUAACGCCCGAAGCCGGUGACCUAACCGAAAGGGAGGAGCCGUCGAAGGUGGGACCGAUAACUGGGGUGAAGUCGUAACAAGGUAAC